AGCUUGCUACACCAUAGACUGUGAGUUGCGAACGGGUGAGUAACGCGUAGGUAACCUGCCUGGUAGCGGGGGAUAACUAUUGGAAACGAUAGCUAAUACCGCAUAAUAUUAAUUAUUGCAUGAUAAUUGAUUGAAAGGUGCAAUUGCACCACUACCAGAUGGACCUGCGUUGUAUUAGCUAGUAGGUGAGGUAACGGCUCACCUAGGCGACGAUACAUAGCCGACCUGAGAGGGUGAUCGGCCACACUGGGACUGAGACACGGCCCAGACUCCUACGGGAGGCAGCAGUAGGGAAUCUUCGGCAAUGGACGAAAGUCUGACCGAGCAACGCCGCGUGAGUGAAGAAGGUUUUCGGAUCGUAAAGCUCUGUUGUAAGAGAAGAACGGGUGUGAGAGUGGAAAGUUCACACUGUGACGGUAUCUUACCAGAAAGGGACGGCUAACUACGUGCCAGCAGCCGCGGUAAUACGUAGGUCCCGAGCGUUGUCCGGAUUUAUUGGGCGUAAAGCGAGCGCAGGCGGUUAGAUAAGUCUGAAGUUAAAGGCUGUGGCUUAACCAUAGUACGCUUUGGAAACUGUUUAACUUGAGUGCAGAAGGGGAGAGUGGAAUUCCAUGUGUAGCGGUGAAAUGCGUAGAUAUAUGGAGGAACACCGGUGGCGAAAGCGGCUCUCUGGUCUGUAACUGACGCUGAGGCUCGAAAGCGUGGGGAGCGAACAGGAUUAGAUACCCUGGUAGUCCACGCCGUAAACGAUGAGUGCUAGGUGUUAGGCCCUUUCUCGGGGCUUAGUGCCGCAGCUAACGCAUUAAGCAC
rnacentral:rRNA from 1 species